GAAUCGAACCUGGGUUUCAUCGGCCACAACGAUGUGUAAUAACCCCUAUACUAAGAUGGC
rnacentral:tRNA from 1 species